rnacentral:rRNA from 1 species
CACGUAGGGCGCAAGCGUUGUCCGGAAUUAUUGGGCGUAAAGAGCUCGUAGGCGGUCUGUUGCGUCCGCUGUGAAAACUCGGGGCUUAACCCCGAGCCUGCAGUGGAUACGGGCAGACUAGAGGUAGGUAGGGGAGAAUGGAAUUCCCGGUGUAGCGGUGAAAUGCGCAGAUAUCGGGAGGAACACCAGUGGCGAAGGCGACUUCCUGGCCUGUUCUUGACGCUGAGGCGCGAAAGCUAGGGGAGCAAACGGG